GGCUGGUAAAAUUGCAGUGGUAUUUAUAACUAAUUGGUCACAACCAGUUACAGAUUUCUUUGUUCCUUCUCCAUUCCCACUGCUUCACUUGACUAGCCAAAA
ensembl:misc_RNA Y_RNA Y RNA